UCCAGGUGCUCAGAUGGUAAAGAGUCUGCCUGCAGUGCAGAAGACCCUGGUUCGAUUCCUGGGUCAGGAA
rnacentral:tRNA from 1 species